CCCUCUUUGCCUGAGUCCCUAUCCCUAUUCAUUUCCCUGUCUGUCUGUCUCAUGCUCCACCCCAUUUUCUGGUGCAUUCCACGCCAGAGCUGAUCAAACCCUUGUGCACCCCCAUUAAACUAGCAUUGCAACCUCAAACCUCGUUGGACCCCUUUGUGCAGUGCCGCGAUCCUUCACCCCUCUCCCACAGAGUAUGGCAUAUGGUGUCCAGCGUGGGGCUUGAGGUCUGAGUCUCUCUUAUAUUAAGAGAAACUCCCUUGCUACCAGAAGGACUCAGGCAACACCUCGAGAGGUGCCUGCUCCACCAGUCAUCCCAAGCCGAACAGCAGACGGCGGAUCACUGGAUCAGCACCGGACUUCACACUGGAAAGGUUAAAGGAGGCUAUAGCACGCCAAGUCCAACAGAAGGAAAGCCAGGACAUUCUGUUUAACAAGCUUGUAAUUGCAAAAGCUAAUGAAAACUGCCAGCAAGCCUUAAAAAUGCUAAAAGAACCCAGCUUGCUGGAGAUGAUUGAAGCUUGUAAAAAUGUGGGAUCAGUAUCUCACAACGCUAAACUGAUUGUGGAAGCUUUAACUGGACUACAGCAAUGUUUCAACUGUGGCCAGAAGGGGCACUUGAAUAAACACUGCCCUAAACUAAACACCAAACCUGAGCUUCCAAAGACACUGUGCCAGCAAUGUGGAAAAGGGAGACAUUGGACUAGAGAUUGCAGAUCCAUCACUGAUAUCCAUGGGGAACUGCUGCCACCAAAAAAGUCACCUGAUUUAAAAAGAAAAGUGACUUUUAAUUCACUGCCAGACCUCAGACAGUGCAACUGUGAGCUGUAAGGAAACAGGGGGGCGAGCGCCCAGGGCGGCGCUAUGACACAAACACCCCCUCAGCUGCGUUCCAUCCUUCGCAGCCCGUCCUUUCAGCAAGUGCCAGCAAACCACAGCAUUUAGAAUGGAUUAUGUUAAGCCUACCAUUCCCUGCAGUUCAACUUAAAUAUGAUGAACAAAUUAUGCAAGUUACACUCACAAAUAUCUGCGACCCUGACCCUGAGUUGGACACCGAAGAAACCUAACUGGUCAUCUCACAGUUAGCAGCAUGCGAGAGAAGAAUUACAGUACUACCCACAUUGCUGACUGGACUUAACGAACAUAACAUUUUUAUUUGCAUUUUUGUCUCCCUUCCACCUAUAGAAGUCAACUGUUUUCCAGUGGCAAAGAUGAUGUGCUUACUGACAAAUGCACGCAUCCUUUUCCCCUCAUCACGUGGGGGAAAGGACACGCCUGUGUUUCCACAGGCCCAAAGUGGGUUUCAGCAAAAAGAGUCAAGAUCUACCAGGAUCCACCAUGUGCUACACCUGUGCCUACCUCCUCAUCAUCCUCCUCGACAUAGGAAUCGAGCAAAGAACAUUGGAAACUGCAGCUGGGCUUCCAAACUGGGCUUAUGCCAAUUCAGAGAACAUCUGGGUAAAAUUAGCUCAGGAGACAGGAAAUAAAGCCAUCUGUCUGUCCCUGUUGAACAUUAAUAA